GAUGAACGCUGGCGGCGUGCCUAAUACAUGCAAGUCGAGCGAACAGAUAAGGAGCUUGCUCCUUUGACGUUAGCGGCGGACGGGUGAGUAACACGUGGGUAACCUACCUAUAAGACUGGGAUAACUUCGGGAAACCGGAGCUAAUACCGGAUAACAUUUGGAACCGCAUGGUUCUAAAGUGAAAGAUGGUUUUGCUAUCACUUAUAGAUGGACCCGCGCCGUAUUAGCUAGUUGGUAAGGUAACGGCUUACCAAGGCGACGAUACGUAGCCGACCUGAGAGGGUGAUCGGCCACACUGGAGCUGAGACACGGUCCAGACUCCUACGGGAGGCAGCAGUAGGGAAUCUUCCGCAAUGGGCGAAAGCCUGACGGAGCAACGCCGCGUGAGUGAUGAAGGGUUUCGGCUCGUAAAACUCUGUUAUUAGGGAAGAACAAACGUGUAAGUAACUGUGCACGUCUUGACGGUACCUAAUCAGAAAGCCACGGCUAACUACGUG
rnacentral:rRNA from 1 species